rnacentral:rRNA from 1 species
GACGAACGCUGGCGGCGUGCUUAACACAUGCAAGUCGAACGGAAAGUCCCUGCUUUUGUGGGGUGCUCGAGUGGCGAACUGGUGAGUUACACUUGAGUAACCUGCCCUUGACUUUGGGAUAACUUCAUGCAACUUGGGCUAAUCCCGGCUAGGAUCUCCCGCUUCUUGGUGGGGGUUGGAAAGUUUCGGCGGUUGGGGAUGGACUCGCGGCUUAUCAGCUUGUUGGUGGGGUAGUGGCUUACCAAGGCUUUGACGGGUAGCCGGCCUGAGAGGGUGACCGGCCAAAUUGGGACUGAGAUACGGCCCAGACUACUACGGGAGGCAGCAGUGGGGAAUAUUGCACAAUGGGCGGAAGCAUGAUGCAGCAACGCAGCGUGCGGGAUGACGGCCUUCGGGUUGUAAACCGCUUUCGCCUGUGACGAAGCGUGAGUGACGGUAAUGGGUAAAGAAGCACCGGCUAACUACGUG